rnacentral:rRNA from 1 species
GAUGAACGCUGGCGGCGUGCCUAAUACAUGCAAGUCGAGCGAACGGACGAUAAUCUUGCUUCUCUGAUGUUAGCGGCGGACGUGUGUGUAACACGUGUAUAACCUACCUAUAAGACUGGUAUAACUUCGGGAAACCGGAGCUAAUACCGUAUAAUAUUUUGCACCGCAGGGUUCAAAGGUGAGAUACGGUCUUUCUGUCUCUUCUCGAUGGAUCCGCGCUGGAUUAGCUAGUUGGUAAGGUAACGGCUUACCAAGGCAACGAUGCAUAGCCGAGGUGAGAGGGUGAUAGGCCACACUGGAACUGAGACACGGUCAAGACUACUAAGGGAGGCAGCAGUCGGGAAUCUUCCGCAAUGGGCGAAAGCCUGACGGAGCAACGCCGAGUGAGUGAUGAAGGUCUUCGGAUCGUAAAGAUCUGUUAUUAGGGAAGAACAUAUGUGGAAGUAAAUGUGCACAUAUUGACGGUAACUAAUCAGAAAGCCACGGCUAACUACGUG